rnacentral:rRNA from 1 species
AACGAACGCUGGCGGCAUGCCUAACACAUGCAAGUCGAACGAGACCUUCGUGUCUAGUUGCUCACGCGUGCGUCACGUGUCGGACCCUGCCCUUAGGUUCCGAAUAACUCCCCUACAUGGGUGCUAAUACCGGAUAAUGUCUUCUGACCAAAGAUUUAUCGACUUUGUAUGGGCCCGCGUUGGAUUAGCUUGUUGGUAGGGUAAAAGCCUACCACGGCUACGCUCCAUAGCUGGUUAGAGAGGAAGGUCAGCCACACUGGGACUGGGACCCAGCCGAGAAUACUACGGGAGGGAGGAGAGGGGAAUAUUGGACAAUGGGCGAAAGCCAGAACGAGCAAGGGCGGGUGAGUGAUGAAGGCGGGAGGGUAGUAAAGCUGGUUUACACGGGAUGAUAAUGACAGUACCGGGAGAAUAAGCACCGGCUAACUCCGUG